GAUGAACGCUAGCGAUAGGCUUAACACAUGCAAGUCGAGGGGCAGCAUGGUCUUAGCUUGCUAAGACUGAUGGCGACCGGCGCACGGGUGCGUAACGCGUAUGCAACUUGCCUCACAGAGGGGGAUAACCCGUCGAAAGACGGACUAAUACCGCGUACACUUACAGGAGGGCAUCCUCUAGUAAGGAAAUGAAAUUCGCUGUGAGAUAGGCAUGCGUCCCAUUAGCUAGUUGGUGAGGUAACGGCUCACCAAGGCGACGAUGGGUAGGGGAACUGAGAGGUUGAACCCCCACACUGGUACUGAGACACGGACCAGACUCCUACGGGAGGCAGCAGUGAGGAAUAUUGGUCAAUGGGCGAGAGCCUGAACCAGCCAAGUCGCGUGAAGGAUGACUGUCUUAUGGAUUGUAAACUUCUUUUAUACGGGAAUAACAAGAGCCACGUGUGGCUCCCUGCAUGUACCGUAUGAAUAAGCAUCGGCUAACUCCGUGCCAGCAGCCGCGGUAAUACGGAGGAUGCGAGCGUUAUCCGGAUUUAUUGGGUUUAAAGGGUGCGUAGGCGGCCUGUUAAGUCAGCGGUGAAAUCUAGGAGCUUAACUCCUAAAUUGCCAUUGAUACUGGCGGGCUUGAGUGUAUAUGAGGUAGGCGGAAUGCGUGGUGUAGCGGUGGAAUGCAUAGAUAUCACGCAGAACUCCGAUUGCGAAGGCAGCUUGCUAAGGUACAACUGACGCUGAAGCACGAAAGCGUGGGUAUCAAACAGGAUUAGAUACCCUGGUAGUCCACGUAGUAAACGAUGAUAACUGGGCGUAUGCGAUAUACAGUAUGCUCCUAAGCGAAAGCGUUAAGUUAUCCACCUGGGGAGUACGCCGGCAACGGUGAAACUCAAAGGAAUUGACGGGGGCCCGCACAAGCGGAGGAACAUGUGGUUUAAUUCGAUGAUACGCGAGGAACCUUACCCGGGAUUGAAAUGUAGAUGACCGCCGGUGAAAGUCGGCUUCCCUUCGGGGCAUCUAUGUAGGUGCUGCAUGGUUGUCGUCAGCUCGUGCCGUGAGGUGUCGGCUUAAGUGCCAUAACGAGCGCAACCCCCUGGCUACGGGUGCCAUUCAGGCCAGCUGGGAACUCCGUAGAGACCUGCCCCCUAAAGCGUGAGGGAAGUGGGGAAGACGUCAAAUCCCACCGGCCUUACAUCCGGGGCGAACACCGGUGUUAAAAGGGGAAGGACAAAGGGCAGUUCCCUGGCAACAGGAAUGCAAUCCCUUAACCCUUAUUCCAGUUCGGAUUCGAAGUCCGCACCUUCACUCCCUGGAACUGGAUUUCCCUAAAAAUCCCGCAUCCACCAGGGGGCGGGGAAAAUUUCUUCCGGGCU
rnacentral:rRNA from 1 species